GUCUGUUUGGAGAUAUAAAAAGUCUAGCCUGCCCACUGAUAAAUAUUUAAAGGGCCGCGGUAUUUUGACUGUGCAAAGGUAGCAUAAUCGUUAGUUUUUUAAUUGGAAUCUUGUAUGAAUGGUUUGACAAAAAAAAAUCUGUCUCUAUAAUUAUUUAUUGAAUUUAACCUUUAAGUGAAAAGGCUUAAAUAAGUUAAAAAGACGAUAAGACCCUAUAAAACUUAAUAUUAUAUUCUUUAUUUAAUUAAAUUUUAAACUAUAUAAAAAUUUAAUAAUUAAUAUUUAUUUUAUUGGGGCGAUAAUGGUAAAAUUUCUAUUAACUGUUAUUUUUUUCUAGACAAAGAUAAGUGAAUGAAACAAGUAUUUAAAUGAUCCUGUAUUAUAGAUUAAAAGUUUAAGUUACUUUAGGGAUAACAGCGUUAUUUUUUUUGAGAGUUCUUAUCGAGAAAAAAGUUUGCGACCUCGAUGUUGAAUUAAAAUAUCUAUAUAAUUGUAGCAGUUAUAUGAGAAGGUCUGUUCGACCUUUAAAAUUUU
rnacentral:rRNA from 1 species